rnacentral:tRNA from 1 species
GGGUUGCAGCUCAGUGGUAGAACACUUGCCUAGCAUGUGUGAGGCCCUGGGUUUGAUCCUCAGCAACACA